rnacentral:rRNA from 1 species
UACGUAGGGUGCAAGCGUUAAUCGGAAUUAUUGGGCGUAAAGGGUGCGCAGGCGGUUGUAUAAGUCAGAUGUGAAAUCCCUGGGCUUAACCUAGGAAUUGCGUUUGAAACUAUAUAACUAGAGUGUGACAGAGGGGAGUGGAAUUCCAUGUGUAGCAGUGAAAUGCGUAGAGAUGUGGAAGAACACCGAUGGCGAAGGCAGCUCCCUGGGUUAACACUGACGCUCAGGCACGAAAGCGUGGGGAGCAAACAGGAUUAGAAACCCGCGUAGUCC